rnacentral:rRNA from 1 species
AUUGAACGCUGGCGGCAGGCCUAACACAUGCAAGUCGAGCGAGCGGCGGACGGGCGAGUAAUGUAUGGGAACCUGCCUGAUAGAGGGGGAUAACUACUGGAAACGGUGGCUACUACCGCAUACUACCGGAUGGGCCCAGAGGGGAUUAGCUAGUCGGUGGGGUAAAGGCUCACCUAGGCGACGAUCCCUAGCUGGUCUGAGAGGGUGAUCAGCCACACUGGGACUGAGACACGGCCCAGACUCCUACGGGAGGCAGCAGUGGGGAAUAUUGGGCAAUGGGCGAAAGCCUGAUGCAGCCAUGCCGCGUGUGUGAAGAAGGCCUUCGGGUUGUAAAGCACUUUCAGCGGGGAGGCGUUACCCGAAGAAGAAGCACCGGCUAACUCCGUGCCAGCAGCCGCGGUAAUAC